GCAGACUGUAAAUCUGC
rnacentral:misc_RNA from 1 species